rnacentral:piRNA from 1 species
UGUGAACUUGGAAACACCCUUAAGCU